GAGCAACCAUCUCAACCCUUAAUUCUAGACAUAAACGGGAGGAAAAGCCUCAGGUAACCAUGAAACUGACAAUGGGUAAUCACUGUCACUUGUGCGCAGAUAUUCACUCAUCAGAAGAUGCAAGUGGCUUCUUCAACAGCCCAAUCUAGGCAUUGUGGUGCCCGCAACAUUGAAGGCAUGCGAUAUUGAGAAAUGAAUGAUCGUUCGUGCCAUCGGUUCUCUUAUCAGGAUGUUUAUUAAGAGGGAUGUUCUGUGAUACAGUGAAGAGAGAAAAAAACAUUUCACAGUAUGACAUUUCCUCACCAUGGCACAAUGAAACAUCUGAAGACCCUCCUCCCUCCCAUGUAUUGCGUCAAAGCAGAAUUAUCAAAGCAUCCUUUCUACGCAAGAACCUGUGUACACAAACCUAUCCUGAAGUGGGAGGGAAUGCUAAACUCUGUAUUAACCCAAAUGAUGUUCGAUAAAUACUUCCUUUCCUUUGCAGCAAUUGAUUCCCUUUCUUUUCACAUAUUCAAACAUUCCUGAACCAGAUGACAUUCAGCAUCUAAGCUGCAGCUUAUUUGCAAAGAAUGAUGUACCUUCCUACAUCCACAAAAUCUACAUCGAGGAACAAACUACGUGCCCAAUGCAGCCCAGCUUGAGGUGAACAUAAGCGGAGGAGUGUGAGAUCGGGGAGGAGAGGGAUUGUUUUGGUCGAGUUGAAACUGUGGAGAGGUAGGGUCGUUGUAAUGGUCUGGUUCCUGUAUCUCAUAGGAUCUAUUCCAUUAAAUCCCAGUGGGUAAAUUACAGUACAUCUGUUCAAAUCCCUGUCAAAUACUGCAGAGGAUUACUGCUGGGAACAAAUUUGCGAGGACAACAGGGCGGAUAUACAGUAACUACUCAUACUAACAUCACCACUACAGUGACAUUCACUUGAAUUAGGAGUGGUUGGGGAAUACAAAUCAUCUUUUGAAUGAGCCAUAGGUGUUUGGGAUUCUGUGCGUAAAUCUUUAGAGAUAUUAGCUAGGACUUUACUUAAACUCAGCAGCGAUCCUUCAAAGAUUUCUGCAUCUAAAAAGGUUGAUUACUUGCUUGGAACACCACAAUAUACCACCAGCUGGUCACUUAAUGCACAUGGUAAGUUCACAAGAUAUAAACAAUUAAGCAAGAAAAAGGGAAAAAAAGCAUAUCGUUUGGAAUAGUCUAUGGCUUUCAAACAAAUGAGUGUAUGCCAACACAUGUGCAUGUAUGUAACAUGUAUGCUAACACUACCACCCUGUUUCUAAAAACUGAUUGCUAUGCUAUAUAAAAAUUGAACUAUAAUACAUACAAAACCAGAUGAGAACUGGUUGGCUUUAUUUAUUAAUGCUAAUUAAUGUGAUGCUGCAAUGCUUUUUUCCCCUUUAAACUAUUUAAAUGGGGGACAAAAAAAAAAGACAUUUAA